rnacentral:tRNA from 1 species
GGUUCAAUGGUGUAAUCGUUAGCACUCAAGACUCUGAAUCUUGCGAUCCGAGAUCAAAUCUCGGUUGAACCU